rnacentral:rRNA from 1 species
UGGGGAAUCAUGGUCAAUGGGCGAAAGCCUGAACCUGCGACGCCGCGUGAGUGAUGAAGGUCGUAAGAUCGUAAAACUCUUUUCAGGGAUCUUAACGCACAGCUGUCAACAACGGCUGUGUGUGACUCUCCCUGGAAGAAGCCCCAGCCAACUACGUGCCAGCAGCUGCGGUAAUACGUAGGGGGCGAGCGUUAUUCGGAAUUACUUGGUGUAAAGGGUAUGUAGGCGGCCCUUCAAGUCGCGUGUCAAAGUCCAGUGCUCAACGCUGGGUGUGCGCGCGAUACUGACGGGCUUGAGGGCUGGAGAGGUGAGCGGAAUUCCCGGUGUAGUGGUAAAAUACGUAGAGAUCGGGAGGAACACCAGCGGCGCAGGCGGCUCACUAGACAGUUUCUGACGCUAAGAUACGAAAGCGUGGGGAGCAAACA